rnacentral:snRNA from 1 species
AUCUCUUUGCCUUUUGGCUUAGAUCAAGUGUAGUAUCUGUUCUUUUCAGUGUAACAACUGAAAUGUCCUCAAUGAGGAUAUUUAUUACGUUACAAUUAUAUUUUUGGAAAUUAAAUGGGAGGAGAGGGAUCGUCGGAAUCCCGUCAUCCAGGGAGAACUAGUCCGCUUGGUGGAUGUUAU